GAGGCGAACCGGGGGAACUGAAACAUCUAAGUACCCCGAGGAAAAGAAAUCAACCGAGAUUCCGAAAGUAGCGGCGAGCGAAAUUGGACUAGCCCUUAAGCUUUACACGCGUUAGACGAACGGUCUGGAAAGUCCGACGAUACAGGGUGAUAGUCCCGUAGUUGACGACGUGUGUUCAGUGAAAUCGAGUAGGGCGGGACACGUGAUAUCCUGUCUGAAUAUGGGGGGACCAUCCUCCAAGGCUAAAUACUACUGACUGACCGAUAGUGAACCAGUACCGUGAGGGAAAGGCGAAAAGAACCCCUGUGAGGGGAGUGAAAUAGAACCUGAAACCGUGUACGUACAAGCAGUAGGAGCAGGCUUUGUCCUGUGACUGCGUACCUUUUGUAUAAUGGGUCAGCGACUUAUAUUCAGUGGCAAGGUUAACCAUCUAGGGGAGCCGUAGGGAAACCGAGUCUUAACUGGGCGUUCAGUCUCUGGAUAUAGACCCGAAACCAGGUGAUCUAGCCAUGGGCAGGUUGAAGGUUGAGUAACAUCAACUGGAGGACCGAACCGACUAAUGUUGAAAAAUUAGCGGAUGACUUGUGGCUAGGGGUGAAAGGCCAAUCAAACCUGGAGAUAGCUGGUUCUCCCCGAAAGCUAUUUAGGUAGCGCCUCGGACGAAUACUACUGGGGGUAGAGCACUGUUAAGGCUAGGGGGUCAUCCCGACUUACCAACCCUUUGCAAACUCCGAAUACCAGUAAGUACUAUCCGGGAGACACACGGCGGGUGCUAACGUCCGUCGUGGAGAGGGAAACAACCCAGACCGCCAGCUAAGGUCCCAAAUUACUACUAAGUGGGAAACGAUGUGGGAAGGCUCAGACAGCCAGGAUGUUGGCUUAGAAGCAGCCAUCAUUUAAAGAAAGCGUAAUAGCUCACUGGUCGAGUCGGCCUGCGCGGAAGAUGUAACGGGGCUAAGUAGUAAACCGAAGCUGCGGCAAUGUGCUUUUGCACAUUGGGUAGGGGAGCGUUCUGUAAGCGGUUGAAGGUGUGUGGUAACGCAUGCUGGACGUAUCAGAAGUGCGAAUGCUGACAUGAGUAACGAUAAAGGGGGUGAAAAACCUCCUCGCCGGAAGACCAAGGGUUCCUGUCCAACGUUAAUCGGGGCAGGGUAAGUCGACCCCUAAGGCGAGGCCGAAAGGCGUAGUCGAUGGGAAACGGGUUAAUAUUCCCGUACUUCUUACAAUUGCGAUGGGGGGACGGAGAAGGCUAGGUGGGCCUGGCGACGGUUGUCCAGGUUCAAGUGCGUAGGCUUAAGAGUUAGGUAAAUCCGGCUCUUUUUAAGGCUGAGACACGACGUCGAGCUACUACGGUAGUGAAGUCAUUGAUGCCAUGCUUCCAGGAAAAGCCUCUAAGCUUCAGAUUGUAAGGAAUCGUACCCCAAACCGACACAGGUGGUCGGGUAGAGAAUACCAAGGCGCUUGA
rnacentral:rRNA from 1 species